AUUCUGCACGGCGAAUGACUCGAGUCGACUAUUCUCACCUCGUCGUCACAUGACUCUUCUCACUCGAUUCCGGUUGUCGACUCGAAUGAGGUGAGACCUUCAUUUUCGAUGUGAGAAAUGGAAUGAACCAAAACAAACGAAUGUUCAUUCGCACAUCUGUCAACUGGAUAGAGUUUCACGACAGCACUCGGAUUAUGGCGUACUCAUUAAACAACAAAAUAAGUAUUUCAUUUUAAUCUCAAAUAUUUCCAUUUUUAUUCAAUGAAAUACAAAGUUACCUACCAGAAAAAUCUAAAUAAAAUUAUUUUCAAACAAUGAGCAAACGUUUUAUUUAGUUAUGGGUAUUUUACUUGAUUAUUUAUAUCCAAAAUUUGUUUUUGCAUCUCGCCCUGAUCUCAACAACGGUGGGUGUUUGUUUUGAGUUUUUUUUUGCACACGUAAACGGUGGUUGUGAUCUAGGAUGUUGUGAUGGAUAUUUACCUGCCCCGGAACGAACUCCGGGAAACAUUUUCCUUCAACUGGAUGUCCAUCCAUAUAGGAAAGACUGAAAAAUCAUCAACCUUAUCCAGAUGAAAAUGACUGAGUGCUUUGCUCAGGUGAAUGGUUUCGGACCGUAUUCAGGAGAUAGCGGAAAAGAGCCGGCAGGAGAAUCAUUUAAAAAUGCAGAAAGCUGCGUUACCAUCGGAGUUGUAGCCCUGGAAUUAGGAAGAUCAAAUAGAUUGGCAGCAGCAUUUCAAGUUCAGCCAAUCAAUCAUAUCGAUAUUGUGGAUGUGACCGAGCUCCAUUUUGGCCGAAUGAUUCCGAUUGAGGCGAUAAGAUGUACCAGAUUUCCGAACUGUCGCGGAUACAUAUAGGGUAUUAUCAGCAGGUUUGUUCUCUUCUUCAUGGGUGGUUUGUAAUGGCCAAAUUGCCUGAGACUUGGUCAUGUUAGUUAGCUAAGUUGGGAAGUAUUUGGGAUCAACUAGGGUAAAAGCUCCCUUAGUGGAGGUAGUACCAAUAGUGGUGGUAGUGCCAAUUUAGCACUAUUUCGAACAAAAUGCUUGCAAAUGAUAUUUUUAAUAGAUGCAUCAUAACUAAUUAAUAACAUUAAUUCAGUUUUGUGUUUAGGAUUUGCCGAAAAACCUAUUUUAAACAAUUAUUUUCCUUAAUUUUUUUGCUCCUUUGCACCUAUAGUGGUGGUAGUGUUCCUAUAGUGGUGGGUCUCAUAAGAAUUCAAUGGGAUGCGCCACUAUAGGAACCAAAGUUAAAUUUUACCUCCAUAAUAGGAACCGUGUACCUAUAGUUGGUGCAAGUGAUUUAUUAGCAAAAACUGAAAUAAACAAUGGUUUUUACUUUUUUCCUAGUAAAUUUAAGUGAAAAACUAGCGAUUAACGUUUUCAGACUUUUUAUUUUGUGGUAUUAUCAAUUUUAUUCAAUUAUUUUUCUACAAGGAGCUACUAAUAGCACCAUUAUUGGUACAUUUACCCUAUGAGUUCCACACAAAAAUCCCUCCAUGUCGAACAGAACAAAGCUUCCGAUAAUACCUACACAAGUUCCUCCAUAUGUGUAUAUGUGGUGCUAAAUCCACAAUAUAAACUUUCUUCGAAAGCGCUGAUUCCCUGUAAA